rnacentral:lncRNA from 1 species
AGAGAGGCGCUGGAAUCAUCCAGCCAUCCUCCUCGUCAAAGUUAUGGGCAAUUUGACCUACCAUUUAGCCAUUUCCUGGAGCUGGUUGAGUGGUUCUUUGGGCCGUUUCUGCCUUGAAGACAACACACGGAGUGUUAUCGCCCAUGCAGAUGAGGACCCCAGACCGCUGGCUUGAGCCUCCUUGCCCUUGCGAACGUUAAUUCCACCUCUGCUGACUGCUGAAGCUUUCACCAAGUUCAUAGACCCUAAGUGCAGGCAGGGGCCCCUUCCUCUAAGCGACUGAUUUAGUUUCAAAAAGCUAGGGGUUGAAUAGGCAAAUCAGGGAGGGAACAAACCGUGAAGAGUAUCAUAUUACAGAGAAAUUCCCAGAAGCCUGAGUAGGUUCCCUGUAUCUCUUCUGAUUCCAUAUUGAUAGGGAAAAUGUAAGCCCACCCUAUAUGUAGUAUGCUCUUGUAAUAUUGCAAUUUAUAAUAAGAAAUAUAUAUUUUGUCUCCCUCCUGUUUCUGCCCCAGAGCUCCUAAAGACAUUGGAAUUUCUAAGUGAUAAGAGCCAUAAAGGUGAAAAGAGAGUCUUCUGUUCUUCAUAAGAAGCCCCUUUCAGUAACUUCUGAGUUUAUGUCAAUCAGGUGCUUUUGGGAAAUCCCAGGUGGGAGCUGGUUGCCAGGGGAAGGGAACCAACUUUGCAAUUAAAGGGUUGGACCUUUCAGCUCCACCCCGUGCCCCACCUCUGGGGAAGGAAGAGGAGAGAGGGGCUGGAGGGGAAUCAGUCAUCAAUGGCCAAUGGUUUAAUCAAUCAUGCCUAUGUAAUGACACUUCCAUAAAACCCCAAAAGGAUGGGGUUCAGAGAGCUUCCAGGUUGGUGAACACGUGGAGGAGUUGCAAGAGCUGUGCCUGGAGAGGGCGUGGAAGCUCCGCGCCCUUCCCACAUGCCUUGCCCGAUGCCUCCAUCUGGCUGUUCCUGAGUUAUAUUCUUUUAUAAUAAACUGGUAAUCUAGUAAGUAAACUGUUUGCCUGAGUUCUAUGAGCCACUCCAACAAGUUAAUUGAACCUGAAGAGGGGUCAUGGGACCCUCUGAUUUACAGCCCAUCAGAAGCAGAGGUGACAGCCUGGAGUUGUGAUUGGCACCUACAGUGGGGCUGGGGGAAGCCCACUGCCAUGUUGUGAGCUGGCUUAAGGAGAGGCCACAUGGCAGAGAACCAAGGGAAGCCCCAAACCAACACUGAGCAAAGAACUGAGGCCUUCAGUCCAACAGUCCAUGAGGAGUUGAAGCCUGCCAACAACACGUGUGCGAGAGCUUGGAAGUGGAUCCUCCCCCAGUCAAGCUUUCAGCUGAGACCAUAGCCUCAGCUGGUUCCUUGAUUGCAGUCUUGUGAGAGACUUUGAGGCAGAGGCACCUAGCUAAGCCACAUCU